AUUGAACGCUGGCGGCAUGCCUUACACAUGCAAGUCGAACGGUAACAGGUCUUCGGAUGCUGACGAGUGGCGAACGGGUGAGUAAUACAUCGGAACGUGCCUAGUAGUGGGGGAUAACUACUCGAAAGAGUGGCUAAUACCGCAUGAGGUCUACGGAUGAAAGCAGGGGAUCGCAAGACCUUGUGCUACUAGAGCGGCCGAUGGCAGAUUAGGUAGUUGGUGGGAUAAAAGCUUACCAAGCCGACGAUCUGUAGCUGGUCUGAGAGGACGAUCAGCCACACUGGGACUGAGACACAGCCCAGACUCCUACGGGAGGCAGCAGUGGGGAAUUUUGGACAGUGGGCGCAAGCCUGAUCCAGCAAUGCCGCGUGCAGGAUGAAGGCCUUCGGGUUGUAAACUGCUUUUGUACGGAACGAAAAGCCCUGGGUUAAUACCCUGGGGUCAUGACGGUACCGUAAGAAUAAGCACCGGCUAACUACGUGCCAGCCGCCGCGGUAA
rnacentral:rRNA from 1 species